AUAGCUUCUCGGCCUUUUCGCUAAGAUCAAGUGUAGGAUUUGUUCUUAUCAGAAAAUAAAACCAGAUACAGCAUCCCCUUAAGCCAAAGCCUAAUCAAGGCCCUGAGCUGUGCUGUGCUUAGUAGCGCAGUCACGUCCAACUCUU
rnacentral:snRNA from 1 species